GACGAACGCUGGCGGCGUGCCUAAUACAUGCAAGUAGAACGCACAGUUUAUACCGUAGCUUGCUACACCAUAGACUGUGAGUUGCGAACGGGUGAGUAACGCGUAGGUAACCUGCCUGGUAGCGGGGGAUAACUAUUGGAAACGAUAGCUAAUACCGCAUAAUAUUAAUUAUUGCAUGAUAAUUAAUUGAAAGGUGCAAUUGCACCACUACCAGAUGGACCUGCGUUGUAUUAGCUAGUAGGUGAGGUAACGGCUCACCUAGGCGACGAUACAUAGCCGAGCUGAGAGGGUGAUCGGCCACACUGGGACUGAGACACGGCCCAGACUCCUACGGGAGGCAGCAGUAGGGAAUCUUCGGCAAUGGACGAAAGUCUGACCGAGCAACGCCGCGUGAGUGAAGAAGGUUGUCGGAUCGGAAAGCUCUGUUGUAAGAGAAGAACGGGUGUGAGAGUGGAAAGUUCACACUGUGACGGUAGCUUACCAGAAAGAGACGGCUAACUACGUG
rnacentral:rRNA from 1 species